CUCCUUCCUGGGACUGCAAUUAUAAAGAUGCCCAGCUGCUGGUGGCAGGCUACAAUUGAUUUCACUCUCCAUGAAGCCAGAUGUGCUUUCAGGCUGUAAAAUAUCCCUGUCUCACUCCUAUCCCAUCAUCAACUGGGGUCCCAACCAGUCCCUGUGUGGAUACCACACUAAGGAUACCACUGAGGCCCUGGCAAAGAGGUCUAAUUGUUCAACCUUAUUGGUCGCUCAUCCUCUGGGGUCGGUAGCACUGGGAGCUGUGGUUCUCCUCGGUGGUUUUCAUCCCAGGACAUCAAGCACCUCCCUUCACCUCUCCCCCUUAACUAAACCAGAUUCACAUAAAGCAAAUUAUUCAGUUCAUUUAGACCAAAGCACAUUCUC
rnacentral:lncRNA from 1 species